AUUGAACGCUGGCGGCAGGCUUAACACAUGCAAGUCGAGCGAGCGGCGGACGGGUGAGUAAUGUCUGGGAAACUGCCUGAUGGAGGGGGAUCACUACUGGAAACGGUAGCUAAUACCGCAUACCAUCAGAUGUGCCCAGAUGGGAUUAGCUAGUAGGUGGGGUAAUGGCUCACCAAGGCGACGAUCCCUCGCUGGUCUGAGAGGAGGACCAGCCACACGGGAACUGAGACACGGUCCAGACUCCUACGGGGGGCAGCAGUGGGGAUUAUUGCAAAAGGGGCGCAAGCCUGCGGCAGCCAUGCGGCGUGUGUGAAGAAGGCCUUCGGGUUGUAAAGCACUUUCAGCGAGGAGGCGUUACUCGCAGAAGAAGCACCGGCUAACUCCGUGCCAGCAGCCGCGGUAAUUC
rnacentral:rRNA from 1 species